rnacentral:rRNA from 1 species
CUGACGCAGCCAUGCCGCGUGAUGAGAAGGCCUUCGGGUUGUAAAGUUCUUUCGGUAUUGAGGAAGGUUGUUGUGUUAAUAGCACGACAAAUUGACGUUAAAUACAGAAGAAGCACCGGCUAACUCCGUGCCAGCAGCCGCGGUAAUACGGAGGGUGCGAGCGUUAAUCGGAAUAACUGGGCGUAAAGGGCACGCAGGCGGACUUUUAAGUGAGGUGUGAAAUCCCCGGGCUUAACCUGGGAAUUGCAUUUCAGACUGGGAGUCUAGAGUACUUUAGGGAGGGGUAGAAUUCCACGUGUAGCGGUGAAAUGCGUAGAGAUGUGGAGGAAUACCGAAGGCGAAGGCAGCCCCUUGGGAAUGUACUGACGCUCAUGUGCGAAAGCGUGGGGAGCAAACA